rnacentral:rRNA from 1 species
CGUGUAGGCGGUUUGGUAAGUCAGAUGUGAAAGCUCCGGGCUUAACCCGGAAAGUGCGUUUGAAACUGCCAGACUUGAGUGCGGGAGAGGAAGGUGGAAUUCCCAGUGUAGAGGUGAAAUUCGUAGAUAUUGGGAGGAACACCGGUGGCGAAGGCGACCUUCUGGACCGUCACUGACGCUGAGACGCGAAAGCGUGGGGAGCGAACAGGAUUAGAUACCCUGGUAGUCC